rnacentral:rRNA from 1 species
CCUACGGGUGGCUGCAGUGGGGAAUAUUGGACAAUGGGCGAAAGCCUGAUCCAGCCAUGCCGCGUGUGUGAAGAAGGCCUUCGGGUUGUAAAGCACUUUCAGUGGGGAAGAAAGCCUUGGGGCUAAUACCCUCGAGGAAGGACAUCACCCACAGAAGAAGCACCGGCUAACUCCGUGCCAGCAGCCGCGGUAAUACGGAGGGUGCGUGCGUUAAUCGGAAUUACUGGGCGUAAAGCGCGCGUAGGCGGUCUGAUAAGCCGGUUGUGAAAGCCCCGGGCUCAACCUGGGAACGGCAUCCGGAACUGUCAGGCUAGAGUGCAGGAGAGGAAGGUAGAAUUCCCGGUGUAGCGGUGAAAUGCGUAGAGAUCGGGAGGAAUACCAGUGGCGAAGGCGGCCUUCUGGACUGACACUGACGCUGAGGUGCGAAAGCGUGGGUAGCAAACAGGAUUAGAUACCCCGGUAGUC